AGGAGGAAGGGAGGGAAUAAAUUGUGUUUAUUAAUAAAAUAAGACCCUUAAUUCAAAAAUAAGCCCCAGCAAAGUCACAUGGCCUGGAACAGGAAAACAACUUUGUUAUUAAUGUGGCAGAAACCCCAUGAUUCAAAAUUGAUUCCUACUCCUUCAUUGUGCAUCAUGUGGCUUAAAGUCCACUGAUAAAUAAAGCUACUCAUUGGUGAUUGAUUAACUCAAUGCCUUCAUAAGAGGCAGAGUUGAUGUGAGCUUGAGUGAAGAGAUCCUGGUCUUCUAGCUUCCAGCUUCCAGAGAGAUGGCAUGAAGUUCCAGACUCUCUUCAAGUCUCUAAAGGGAAAGAAAGACUAUGGGAAGAAGCCAACGUGUAGAGAAGCAGAUCAGUUGGAGACUGCAAGGAAUUUCCCCCAACAGAAAAUUCCCUAGAGAUCUAGAACUCCCCUUCGUUGACUGAGCUAUCUCAUUGCCACUGGGAGAGCUCAUUUACUUCAUUUAUUGACUGCCUGGCUACCUUGCUAUUAGACUGUGAUCAAAACAAAGCUAUCAAUCGAAAUCCAAAAGCUCUCUCUUCAAAAUAAAACUGCUUUUCAAAAGCUGAGCUACAGGCUCCUACCAGGGGUGGCUGACACCUCUGUUCUACAAUACAAGAGGCAAAUGGUUUAUCCAACCUUCAUUUGAAAACCUUAGUGAGGGGCCAAGCAGAGUAAUGUUAAUCUUCCAUUUGUCAGCUUCUCAAAUUCUUGAGGACAGUGAUCAUGACACACCAUUGAACCUUCUCUUUUCCCAGCUAAAUACUCCCACUUGUUUCAACUGAUUUUCAUAUAGAAUGAUCUUGAAGCCAUCUACCAGCCAGGACACUCUCCCAGGCAUUUCAGAAAGCACAUUUAGUCUUCCAGGUCACUAGGAAGUCAAUAUACUAAGUGUCCAAUUUAACACUAAGACAUUGAGUCCAAAGAGAAUGUAGAAGCCCAAAAUAUUUGGGGCUCAAACUAUAUUAU